rnacentral:rRNA from 1 species
GGGGAUGAUGGUACCACUAGAGAAAGCACCGGCUAAUCUCGUGCCAGCAGCCGCGGUAAUACGAGAGGUGCGAGCGUUAUUCGGAUUUAUUGGGUGUAAAGGGUGCGUAGACGGCGCGUUAAGUUUGUUGUUAAAUCCUCCGGCUCAACCGGAGAUAUGCGGCAAAUACUGGCGUGCUAGAGGAUGGAAGAGAGAAGUGGAAUUCUUGGAGUAGCGGUAAAAUGCGUAGAUCUCAAGAGGAACACCGAUGGCGAAGGCAGCUUCUUGGUCCAUUCCUGACGUUGAGGCACGAAAGCGUGGGGAGCAAACAGGAUUAGAUACCCUGGUAGUCCACGCUGUAAACGAUAAUCACUAGACGUUGGUUCUGUUUAACGGGAUCAGUGUCGUAGCUAACGCGUUAAGUGAUUCACCUGGGAAGUACGGUCGCAAGAUUAAAACUCAAAGGAAUUGACGG